GACAGAGGAUGCAAGCGUUAUCCGGAAUGAUUGGGCGUAAAGCGUCUGUAGGUGGCUUUUCAAGUCCGCCGUCAAAUCCCAGGGCUCAACCCUGGACAGGCGGUGGAAACUACCAAGCUGGAGUACGGUAGGGGCAGAGGGAAUUUCCAGUGGAGCGGUGAAAUGCAUUGAGAUCGGAAAGAACACCAAUGGCGAAAGCAGUCUGCUGGGCCAACACUGACAUUGAGAGACGAAAGCUAGGGGAGCAAAUGGG
rnacentral:rRNA from 1 species